UGAGAAUGCUGCGUGCGCAAUGUCGUCUGUACGUCAACUAGCAGAAAUCUCAAUUGUUUAUACUAAUAAAUUAAUAAAAUUUCUUAAGUUAAACUUACAUUUACAAUAAAAAUCCUUUGGAACAUUAAAGAAAACACAGGUUAUACCAGGGUUGGGUUUUACAUUAUAUCAGUGUUGCCAAUUACAUGGAAAUUUCCCGGAGUACGAGAAAUUUUGACAGCAUUGGGAAAUUUUACGGGAAAUGAAUAAAUUACGGGAAAUUCCGGGAAAUACUCUAAUAAUGCACAAAUUUAAUAGAUUUUUAACUAAAACUCAUGUUUUCUAACAGAAUAUAUUUUAAAAAAGUUUUAAUGAUUUAUAAAACGAUAAUUACAUUCAAAAAUUAAAAAUAAAAUACAUAAAAACUCAAUAAAAAUAGUAACAAUAGCAAUACAAAUAAUAAUAAUCUUUUAUCAGAGCUUAAUAUAUUAUAUUAUAAUUCUAAUAAAUUACAAUUUUAUAUGGUGGGAAAUUGCAAGGAAAUUUAAGAAAUUUUUCCGGGAGA